UACGUAGGGGGCAAGCGUUGUCCGGAACUAUUGGGCGUAAAGCGCGCGCAGGCGGCUAUUUAAGUCUGGUGUUUAAACCUUGGGCUCAACCUGGGGUCGCACUGGAAACUGGAUGGCUUGAGUACAGAAGAGGAAAGUGGAAUUCCACGUGUAGCGGUGAAAUGCGUAGAGAUGUGGAGGAACACCAGUGGCGAAAGCGACUUUCUGGGCUGUAACUGACGCUGAGGCGCGAAAGCGUGGGGAGCAAACAGG
rnacentral:rRNA from 1 species